rnacentral:rRNA from 1 species
UACGUAGGGCGCAAGCGUUUGUCCGGAAUCAUUGGGCGUAAAGAGCUCGUAGGCGGCCUGUUGCGUCCGCUGUGAAAUCCCGGGGCUUAACCCCGGGCGUGCAGUGGAUACGGGCUGGCUGGAGGCAGGCAGGGGAGAACGGGAAUUCCCGGUGUAGCGGUGAAAUGCGCAGAUAUCGGGAGGAACGACCGGUGGCGAAGGCGGUUCUCUGGGCCUGUACUGACGGCUGAGGAGCGAAAGCGUGGGGAGCGAACAGGA